CCUACGGGAGGCAGCAGUGAGGAAUAUUGGUCAAUGGCCGAGAGGCUGAACCAGCCAAGUCGCGUGAGGGAAGACGGCCCUACGGGUUGUAAACCUCUUUUGUCGGGGAGCAAAGCGAACCACGUGUGGUUCAUUGAGAGUACCCGAAGAAAAAGCAUCGGUUAACUCCGUGCCAGCAGCCGCGGUAAUACGGAGGAUGCGAGCGUUAUCCGGGUUUAUUGGGUUUAAAGGGUGCGCAGGGGGAGGUGCAAGUCAGCGGUAAAAUUGCGGGGCUCAACCCCGUACUGCCGUUGAAACUGCAUGCCUUGAGUGCGCGAGAAGUAUGUGGAAUGCGUGGUGUAGCGGUGAAAUGCAUAGAUAUCACGAAGAACUCCGAUUGCGAAGGCAGCAUACCGGCGCGCAACUGACGCUCAUGCACGAAAGCGUGGGGAGCGAACAGGAUUAGAUACCCGAGUAGUC
rnacentral:rRNA from 1 species